GGAAUAGAAGCAGGGAGCGGGCAGUGUCAGCGGCAGUGCCAGCGGCAGGCAGUGUCAGAGCGCACGGCAGCCCCGCUCGCUGCCCGCUCCGCUGACACCCGCAGGCAGGGAACAGGGAGCAGGGCAGGGAGCAGGCAGUGGGCAGGCAGGGAAUAGGAGCGGGCAGUGUCAGAGGGCACGGCAGCCCCGCUCCGUGCCCGCUCCGCUGACACCCGCGCACGGCCAAUGGGCUCGGGCGCUCCACCUGCCAUCCCCGGCGCGCCCAAUGGCGGCGCGGCCCCGGCGCUGCGCCCUCCCCGGCCAAUGGGAGCCGGCGCUGGCUCUCGUUAAUGAUGCAGCAGUCCAGGGAAGACUAUCACAUGUGAGCUGGCCGCCUGCCAGCAUGGAGACACCGAGAGAGCAAGCUGGUGUGGAAGCGUCUGGAAGGCACCCGUCUACCUGUCCCCAGUGCUUUUAAAAACUGGACGACGUGCCCUGCAAUGAUCACUGCGUCACCGUUUGCCACUUUGCGAACUACGCAGUGACAAACCUGCGAGCUCCGAAUCGCAGGGCGCCUGUUAACCCCUGCACCAGCCCCGUGCCGACAUGCCAGCCUCCAGGGACACGGGGGGGGAUAGAAAGCCCAGCCAAACCGGGAAAACAGCAGUCUUUGCAAAGUUGUCAUCUCUCCCCCACGACUACUACCCUCCUCUGCAGUACAGCAAUGCCGGCAGGAGUGACAUUAGUACAACCUGUGCCGUCGCUCCAUUGAGAAAACAGCUCUGACGCAGAACAGAGCAAUCCUACCCAGCCAAAAUAAUAAUAAAGGCACUUUGGGAUCCGAACUCAGGGACGCCGGGGGAAAGGGACGCCCUGCAAAUAAUCCAAAUACGUAGCUGCAGCUCCAGCCCCAUCCUGAUCAAAGGGUACGUACGUGAGGGAGACGAACCGGACCGAGGAGCCGUGCCCGUGCACCAUCUGCGCAGUCCUCAGCCCUCCGCUCGCUCUGGAGCGCCGCAGAAGAGAAGGUUCCAGAAAUUUCCUUCCCGUUAACCCUUUCGGUGUCUGCCCACUCUCCCUCCCCGUGGGAUUAAGCGCGCCGGGUCUCCAGCAUCGUCAAUGGGCGAAGCCUCCUACGCCAAGCGAGCCCCAGGACGAGGUGCAAAUGGCAGUGGAUGGUGGCAGGAGCCCAGUCCGUGGUGUUGGUGCCACUUCUCUUCCUGGAGCCCUCUCUGCCUCUCUUGCUGCCUCUCUCCCCUCUUGCUGCAGCAGGGCUGUUGCUGGUAGACCUAUCGACGGAGCUUGCUCUCUCACUCUCUCUCUGAGCUCUGUGACGCAGCUCUAAAUUCUCCAGCCUGCUCCUUGUGUUAUAAGAGCGGAACUGCAGCUUUCCAGGGAGCCCGUGCCAGCGGUGCCAGGGCCAGGCAGACCGGAGGGAGCGUCGCUCCUGGACUCUGCACCUUUUUUUGGCAAUUAUUCUGUUCCUCACCUCUGUUUCUGUGCUGCCUCCCCGGCUCUCAGCCUCGCAUCUCCUUCUCUGCUUCUGAGUCAUACUUACAUACAGGUUAACUCUUUUAGCAUUGGUAGUCAGCAGUACAAAUCUCGAGCGAUAGCAGCUGAAACCACAGCCAACUUUUUUGGUGUUUUCUGCUUUAAAAAAACCAAAGCAAAUCUUGCUGGCUCUAAAAAACAAAAACACGUGCACGCACACACACGUUGCAGUGGAGAGUUGGUGCUUUCUGAUUAACUGUUUUGGUGACAGGAACCACUGCUUGACUUCCUGAAAUGAAAUAUUUUAGGCCCAUGUCCUGCAAAUCCUCAGCAGGCAGAUCCCCUAAAACACAAGGCAGCUUAAGAGGAGCUGCUGCUGUGAUCAGAUGCAGGACUUCUGGGCAUGAGGCUACUGCUGGCCCCACAAGCCCCUGCUCUGCUGGCCACAAGACACUGAUCUGAGCGUGGUUUAGCUGCUGGGCAGAUGCAUGGCGUGAGAUAAGGUGCUGGAAGUGCUGGAAAGCCACAAGAUCUUCUUAAUCUGAGCAGCAUUAAUAAGUGUUAUCACACACACAGAUUCAAAACGCUCGGCGUAGGCAGGGGAACUAAUAACUGCGCUCCUGGAGUCACCAGAAUCCAAUAAUCCCCGACAAAGACAGUCCACAGGCAGCUCUGCAUUUCAGCACAGCAGGCAUCAUCCCCAGGCAAGGAGCCUUUUGCAGCUGCACGCUCUCUCCUCGCCUCUGCCCCCCAGAUCCCUGCAAUAACUCUGGUGCCUCCGGCCAGCCCCGGCACCCGGCAGGGGAGGCAGAGCUCUGCCAGCACCGGGAAGUGUGGAGGAGGAUCCGUGGUAGGUGCAGCUCCUGGGAAUCAGGGAAGCUGAUGGAGAGGCAGCACUGAGAGGGAGUUGAUGUGCACACACAGAGCAGCGAGGAGCAGUCCGUCAGGAAACACGGAAUGCAGAGAGAUCCCUGCUCCACUCCUCCGUCUGCCAUUUUAAUUCUGACUUCAGAGCCGGCUGCGAGCGUUGGGUUUUUCACUACAACCAAAGCUGAAGUAACCACGGGUUUUUUUUCUCCUCGCAGCGUCUGAAGAGCCUGAGCUAUUUUGGGAUUUGUCUGUACUACUCUGAAAAUGACACCUGUUACGCACAGGCACAAAUGAGAAAAAUUACAAGCGCCCGGUUCCUCUGAUAGGAUCCUACAAAAAAUGGGGCGAGAUCCCCUGGGUCAGGGCUGGGUGAGCAGCAGGGGCUCGGCCGUGGGGUGAAGGGGAUGACCCCGGUGAACUGAGCAGACACCAGCAUGAGAAAUGUGAAAAGUCUGUAGUAGCUGAUGCAAGGGGAAAUCAAGCCUCCAUGUGACCAGAAGAAGUAGUGCAUGAUCAACUAAAUGCCACAAUACAUGGUUUCUUAUGCAAUCGAGCCCAUGGGACUCCAGGCCUUACACAUCCACUUUGUGGCCAAAGCUGCAGGGAUUAACUCCUUCCUUAAUGACUGGGAGCGAGCACAGGCUCCUGAAAUGAGUCAUCCCCCCAAGCAGGCCGGGCUCUGCUGAGACUGGAGCUGCCUGUGCUGCUUCCCGUCACCCCCAUUCUCUCAGGAGCCCCAGCACGCGGGGCCAGGGCGAAUCUUCUGUGUUCCCUCUUCUCCCUGGUGGUUUGCACCAGGCUGUGCAGGCAGGCAGAGCCCACCUCGAGAUCAGGGAGCUCCAGAAGUGACACAGCGAGAUGAGACACCAGAUGAAAGCUGGGAGCCUCAGAAACAGGGCAGUUCGCUGGUGCUGUCGGCUCACACUGCUUUUGUCAGGCCUGUGCUGUGUCAGGAAGGUGAAACCGACUUUGAUUUAUCCCAAAUGACUCUUUCUGGUUGCUUUCAGGGGAAAUGCAGCGUUUAUUUUAUGGUUUGCUUUCCUUUGAAAAUCACCAGCCCUGGUGUGUUUCUGUCUUUGCCUGCCUCUAGGUACUUGCUGGUGGCACUCAGGCUCCCAAGAAGAGCUCAGAGCUGUGAGAAAUCAACUGUGAGAAAUCUUGGGGCAAUGGAAAACUUCAGCCCUCAGAACUGAGUGACGAGGCCUAAAAACAUAAAGUCAUUUUCUGACACUCUUGGGCAGGAUUUGGCAUUUUCUGGUUUGAGCAUCUUCGACAUUCCACAAUAAAAAUCUAGGCUGCUUUUCUGGUUUAA